GCUUUCCGAAACCCGUGAGGAUGAGAACCUCCGGGGGCAAGAGGUUCGACUCGAGCGCAGUGAGAGAACGUUGCGUCAGCAACGGCCCGCAGGGCGAGUAGUCCUCUAUCACCGACCA
rnacentral:sRNA from 1 species